rnacentral:rRNA from 1 species
AUUGAACGCUGGCGGUAUGCCUUACACAUGCAAGUCGAACGGUAGAGGGGCCACCCUUGAGAGUGGCGAACGGGUGAGUAAUACAUCGGAACGUGCCCAGUCGUGGGGGAUAACGUAGCGAAAGCUACGCUAAUACCGCAUACGACCCGCGGGGGAAAGCGGGGGGCUCGCAAGGGCCUCGCGCGAUUUGAGCGGCCGAUGGCAGAUUAGGUAGUUGGUGGGGUAAAGGACCACCGAGCCUGCGAUCUGUAGCUGGUCUGAGAGGACGAACAGCCACACUGGGACUGAGACACGGCCCAGACUCCUACGGGAGGCAGCAGUGGGGAAUUUUGGACAAUGGGCGAAGGCCUGAUCCAGCCAUACCGCGUGCGGGAAGAAGGCCUUCGGGUUGUAAACCGCUUUUGUCAGGGAAGAAAUCUUCUGGGUUAAUACCUCGGGAGGAUGACGGUACCUGAAGAAUAAGCACCGGCUAACUACGUGCCAGCCGCCGCAGUAA